ensembl:snRNA U6 U6 spliceosomal RNA
GUGUUCUCUUUAGCAGCCCAUAUACUAAAAUUGGAACAAUACAAAGAUGAGCGUGGCCUCUGCACAAGGAUGACACACAAAUUCGUGAAGCGUUUAAUAUAUAU